rnacentral:rRNA from 1 species
GUGUCAGCAGCCGCGGUAAGACGUAGGGGACGAGCGUUGUCCGGAUUCAUUGGGCGUAAAGCGCGCGUAGGCGGUUUGGUAAGUCGGAUGUGAAAACCAGAGGCUCAACCUCUGGCCUGCAUCCGAUACUGCCCGACUAGAGGUAGGUAGGGGAGAUCGGAAUUCCUGGUGUAGCGGUGAAAUGCGCAGAUAUCAGGAGGAACACCGGUGGCGAAGGCGGAUCUCUGGGCCUUACCUGACGCUGAGGCGCGAAAGCUAGGGGAGCAAACAGGAUUAGAUACCCUGGUAGUCC